UUAACUUUUCGUUUCGAGGCAGGGGAUACAGGGUAAUCCAGAAGAACUGGAAAAAGGGUUGUGAAAUUGCGUAAAUUUGUUUAUUUUUUUGUUUAGUGACACUGUUAUUCAAAAUCAAUACAUACACAUAUAUAACAAACAUCAAUUGUGACUGAUAAACCUUUAACUACAUACUAAAUAAUGCAUUUAUUGAAAAUAUUUAUUACUGAUAACAAGAUUGUAACCGUGUUUUUAAUAGCAGAAAGCGCAAAAAAUAUUUAAUGAUUGGUAAAUGCUAAAAGAUUUAUUGUGGUCUACUAUAGUCUCAUAAGGUAGAAAUACCGUGUGUAAUGCUCAUUUCUUUCAAAUUUAACUCGAUAUCCUUCAUAAGAACCAUUGUUUUCGACAUUUAUUCAUUCUUUUAGGAAUAUUGAAACAACAUUAUUAAUUGUGGUAAACCUUAUCUGGCAGUACUUAAGAGUGCAUCUUUGACUUUAUUACUCGAGUGAAUGCACCUUCAAACCGGUUUAACACCAACAUGUCACAGUAAUCAAUACCAUCUGUGUUAAGAUGUCGGGAAUGUGUUAGACGAAUGAUUUUGUUUUAUGGAGCUUUGAAGAGCGAUGAAUGGCACUAAAGUGGUGCCAAAUGGAUAUCUCAAACACCCAUUGUUGAUGUGUGAUGCUGAUAAUACAGAGACAGCUAGAGUGACAGAGUUUGAUGAAUAAACUUAAAUUAAAAAACAGAAAUAACCACCAUCUCUCUCAGAGGUCAUCUUUCUCAUUAUUGUGGGAAACCUCAAAGGGCAUCAGGAAAGAGUGACCAUUAUCACUCUUUAUUAGCUAAAAAAAGUGACCAUUGAAAAAAACAUAUAUAUAUAUUAAUGGUUAUAUUAAAUUUCAUCAUAAUAUUUAAAAAAAAUGUUAUAAAAAUAUAUAUAUAUGUAUUUAUUUUUUUAGUGGGGGGGCUUUUGAACCACUUGCCCAUUUUGAGGGGGGGCUUUUGAACGGGGGGCUUUUGAUAGGGGGGGCUUUUGAACGGGGGGCUUUUGAUAGGGGGGGCUUUUGAGUGUACCCCUCAGGAAAACCUUCAUCAACCUCUUUGUGCCCAGUGGCUUGUGCAACAGUGUUUCAGAAAUUAUCAUUAAAAUGGGGAUAAUGGAUGACUGGCCACACAUAUGGGGCUAUGGACAAGCUUCAGAGCAGGCUGCCAGGUGGUGGUGUUAGUAGUUUAUACUCCGGGUCCCGGCGUGAGCACAUUGAAGGGUCCCAGAGUGACGGUUCAACCACCCACACCUAUCCUGGGCAGAACCAGUACUAGGUGCCUUCACCUCUGCAAGGAACUGACAGCUUCUGUACAUGCCAGGUGCAGUGGUACAGUGCGAAUGGUCGUAGAAAGGAUUUCAUAACCAAUCACAACAGAGGUCACCUGGUCCGCCCGGGAAUCGAACCCGGGAUGUCCAAUUCAGAGUCCAACGCUCUACCGAUUGAGCUGACCGGGCGGACAUAUUAGCUACAUUAGAUGACAAGCCAUCUAUGCUGGACAUUCUUCACAAUAAAAUGUGAUGUCACAGGAGCUGUCUAUCUCAACAGCUCACACUGUCCGUAUUUGACUAAAGGAAUGAAUGAAGUCACUGCAGAAGUUAGAUUGAGGAAUGUCCAUGUCACUACCCAUCAUUUGGAAGGAGUUGGAUAAAAAAAGUGUGGCCUAUGUAUUGAAACAGGUCCGAUUUCCAGUUACGGACAGUCUUGAUUUGUCUGAUUACAUUUUUGACCAACAUGAUGGUCUAAAAGAACACUUACUGGUAACUGGUAAAAUCAUGGCCCAGUUGUUCCAAGAGGCAGGCGAGUGGGAAGUUACUAGACUCCAUUUCUUUAUGGGUUGAUCUGAGGUUCCAGUUCAGUUAAAGUACUGAUAGAACACCAAGUGUUUGCCAUAAUACAGCAACAUUUCAUUUGUAACUAUGUAUUUGUUUGAAUUGUUGAAACAGUACUGUUAACUAAAUAAUGUGUAUGUAUAUGAAGAAUAAUAUUAUAAAUAAUUUGUAAGAACCUUUUGAUAUUAAGUAAAAUGUCGAUAAGUCUAAAUAUGUAUCUGCGAAUCAUUUUUGUAUAUCUGUAAAGAUUACAUUGCCUAUAUUCCUCAAUUUAUAUUUUUCUUUUAGCCAGUCAAUAACUUUGUUAAGUUCUAUCUUCAAAAUUGUCGGGACAGGGAUUAUAGCCCUUAAUUAACCCAAAUAUGUAACAUUCAAUGCAAAAUUGGCUGCAAUUAGGCAGUUCAGAUGCAGGAACAAACAUCACUUGGGUCCUUAAUAAUAGCUUUCCAUCUGACAUUGAAGAUCCAAUAAAAGGAAUUUGUCUUGUGACUGUUUAUUAACUCUCAAUUUAUUGAAAGUGAAAUUACUUACAUGAUUUGUAAGAACUAAAUUAUAAUGAUAUCAAAUGAUUGUUUAAAUUAAAUAAAAUAGAUGAUUACAUACAUGAACUAUUUUUAUUUCUUGUUUGUCAAUAUGAAGAGUAAUGCAAUGGCUUUUGAAUUUCAUAAAAAAGGAUGGAAAAAUGUAUGUUUAUUGUUUAAGCAAUUAAUUAAGUAAUAAAAGUUGUUUUUUUUCUUUUUUUCAAAUUGUGCUAUCUUAUAAUACAGAUCGUUAUUUGUUUAAUUUUGGUACAAAUGAAGUAUAUAAGGUAUGUCUAAUGUUACAAAUAGCAAAAAUUCAAAUGCAAAUCAUGGUGACUUGACUAAAUGUGAAUGCUAAUUGAAUCAAAAUAGUUAAUAAAUAAUAAUGUUCA